rnacentral:rRNA from 1 species
AUUGAACGCUGGCGGCAGGCCUAACACAUGCAAGUCGAGCGGAUGACGGGAGCUUGCUCCUUGAUUCAGCGGCGGACGGGUGAGUAAUGCCUAGGAAUCUGCCUGGUAGUGGGGGACAACGUUUCGAAAGGAACGCUAAUACCGCAUACGUCCUACGGGAGAAAGCAGGGGACCUUCGGGCCUUGCGCUAUCAGAUGAGCCUAGGUCGGAUUAGCUAGUUGGUGGGGUAAUGGCUCACCAAGGCGACGAUCCGUAACUGGUCUGAGAGGAUGAUCAGUCAAACUGGAACUGGGACACGGUCCAGACUCCUACGGGAGGCAGCAGUGGGGAAUAUUGGACAAUGGGCGAAAGCCUGAUCCAGCCAUGCCGCGUGUGUGAAGAAGGUCUUCGGAUUGUAAAGCACUUUAAGUUGGGAGGAAGGGCAGUAAGUUAAUACCUUGCUGUUUUGACGUUACCGACAGAAUAAGCACCGGCUAACUCUGUGCCAGCCGCCGCCGUAACAC